rnacentral:rRNA from 1 species
CCUACGGGUGGCUGCAGUGGGGAAUAUUGCACAAUGGGCGCAAGCCUGAUGCAGCCAUGCCGCGUGUGUGAAGAAGGCCUUCGGGUUGUAAAGCACUUUCAGCGGGGAGGAAGGCGGUGAGGUUAAUAACCUCAUCGAUUGACGUUACCCGCAGAAGAAGCACCGGCUAACUCCGUGCCAGCAGCCGCGGUAAUACGGAGGGUGCAAGCGCUAAUCGGAAUUACUGGGCGUAAAGCGCACGCAGGCGGUCUGUCAAGUCGGAUGUGAAAUCCCCGGGCUCAACCUGGGAACUGCAUUCGAAACUGGCAGGCUAGAGUCUUGUAGAGGGGGGUAGAAUUCCAGGUGUAGCGGUGAAAUGCGUAGAGAUCUGGAGGAAUACCGGUAGCGAAGGCGGCCCCCUGGACAAAGACUGACGCUCAGGUGCGAAAGCGUGGGGAGCAAACAGGAUUAGAUACCCUAGUAGUC